ACUCCAAGCUGUGUUGCUUCAGAGAGAAGUUGCUAAGAAGGCUUCUGUUGCAAAUGGCACAAGCUGAAUGUUUCCCAGUGCCAGGCAAUCCCUCACCCAAGACAACUUGUACAGGCCCUUCACAUCCUCUUGGUGCUUUUUCAACACAGCAGCUGUACAGGCUGACUUCUGUCAAUCUGUGUUUUCCAAAGGUAUGCCAGUGCUCAACAACCUCUGUUUUAUGCUCUCCUGCUUCUUCCUGUUCCAUUUACCUUUUUUUCUGAUUAUCUCCUAGAAUAUAUUUGUCAUCUAAAUAACCCCAGUCCCACAUCUCUCUAGCCUUACAAAGUUUUGUACUCAAAUGUUGUUCUUAUCCAUUACAUUUGCUUCUGUCUCCCUCCAUCCUGAUUUUGGCUUAGCUUUUCUGGAUGAGUUAUACUUGAAUAAGAUCUACUGGUAACACUCUCUCCAUUGGACAAGCCCCAAAGCUGACUUCUCUUAGAAUUCUGUUCUUGGAGGAAUCUCUUGCUCAAAUAUUCCCUAGCUUGUUCCCAGAUAAUCUCUUCUUAAUAGUCAUAGAAGGAAAUUGUUGUCAUGGUUAAAGUAGAACCUCCAUAGUUCAAUUUAAUAUGAACAAGGAUGUAAAGCAUUUAGGCAUCAUGCAUAGAGUUGAACAUAUAACAAAUAUAUAGCCAACAGGUUAUCUAAAUGACAAAGAAUGUCUAGAAUAACUCUUGACUUGAAUCCACACAGAUACAGAAAAUGAUUGAGCCAAAGGCAGGCUUAGCAGCAACUAAUAAUUUAUUUCCCUCCCCAAAACAUGCUUGUUCUAACAUGGCAUUUAUUCAGAGUUAUGUUUAAUUUGGCUGUCUUAAAUGCAAAAAACAUAUACGGACACAAA
rnacentral:lncRNA from 1 species